ensembl:lncRNA
UUUUUUUUUUUUUUUUUUUUUUUUUUUUUUUUUUUUUUUUUUUUUUUUUUUUUUUUUUUUUUUUUUUUUUUUUUUUUUUUUUUUUUUUUUUUUUUUUUUUUUUUUUUUUUUUUUUUUUUUUUUUUUUUUUUUUUUUUUUUUUUUUUUUUUUUUUUUUUUUUUUUUUUUUUUUUUUUUUUUUUUUUUUUUUUUUUUUUUUUUUUUUUUUUUUUUUUUUUUUUUUUUUUUUUUUUUUUUUUUUUUUUUUUUUUUUUUUUUUUUUUUUUUUUUUUUUUUUUUUUUUUUUUUUUUUUUUUUUUUUUUUUUUUUUUUUUUUUUUUUUUUUUUUUUUUUUUUUUUUUUUUUUUUUUUUUUUUUUUUUUUUUUUUUUUUUUUUUUUUUUUUUUUUUUUUUUUUUUUUUUUUUUUUUUUUUUUUUUUUUUUUUUUUUUUUUUUUUUUUUUUUUUUUUUUUUUUUUUUUUUUUUUUUUUUUUUUUUUUUUUUUUUUUUUUUUUUUUUUUUUUUUUUUUUUUUUUUUUUUUUUUUUUUUUUUUUUUUUUUUUUUUUUUUUUUUUUUUUUUUUUUUUUUUUUUUUUUUUUUUUUUUUUUUUUUUUUUUUUUUUUUUUUUUUUUUUUUUUUUUUUUUUUUUUUUUUUUUUUUUUUUUUUUUUUUUUUUUUUUUUUUUUUUUUUUUUUUUUUUUUUUUUUUUUUUUUUUUUUUUUUUUUUUUUUUUUUUUUUUUUUUUUUUUUUUUUUUUUUUUUUUUUUUUUUUUUUUUUUUUUUUUUUUUUUUUUUUUUUUUUUUUUUUUUUUUUUUUUUUUUUUUUUUUUUUUUUUUUUUUUUUUUUUUUUUUUUUUUUUUUUUUUUUUUUUUUUUUUUUUUUUUUUUUUUUUUUUUUUUUUUUUUUUUUUUUUUUUUUUUUUUUUUUUUUUUUUUUUUUUUUUUUUUUUUUUUUUUUUUUUUUUUUUUUUUUUUUUUUUUUUUUUUUUUUUUUUUUUUUUUUUUUUUUUUUUUUUUUUUUUUUUUUUUUUUUUUUUUUUUUUUUUUUUUUUUUUUUUUUUUUUUUUUUUUUUUUUUUUUUUUUUUUUUUUUUUUUUUUUUUUUUUUUUUUUUUUUUUUUUUUUUUUUUUUUUUUUUUUUUUUUUUUUUUUUUUUUUUUUUUUUUUUUUUUUUUUUUUUUUUUUUUUUUUUUUUUUUUUUUUUUUUUUUUUUUUUUUUUUUUUUUUUUUUUUUUUUUUUUUUUUUUUUUUUUUUUUUUUUUUUUUUUUUUUUUUUUUUUUUUUUUUUUUUUUUUUUUUUUUUUUUUUUUUUUUUUUUUUUUUUUUUUUUUUUUUUUUUUUUUUUUUUUUUUUUUUUUUUUUUUUUUUUUUUUUUUUUUUUUUUUUUUUUUUUUUUUUUUUUUUUUUUUUUUUUUUUUUUUUUUUUUUUUUUUUUUUUUUUUUUUUUUUUUUUUUUUUUUUUUUUUUUUUUUUUUUUUUUUUUUUUUUUUUUUUUUUUUUUUUUUUUUUUUUUUUUUUUUUUUUUUUUUUUUUUUUUUUUUUUUUUUUUUUUUUUUUUUUUUUUUUUUUUUUUUUUUUUUUUUUUUUUUUUUUUUUUUUUUUUUUUUUUUUUUGUUGUUUCAAACCUUUUAUUUGUUAAUAAACGCUGAGUGCAGCCAUUGCACUCAGCUCAUCACAACCACUGUCUUGUUUGAAUUCCUGUCUGGUCUGACGCCA